CCGGGUGAGUAACACGUGAUUAACCUACCUUCGAGUGGGGAAUAACUUCGGGAAACCGAAGCUAAUACCGCAUAACAUCCCAAGGACGAGAAGCCCAGGGAUCAAAGGAGCAAUUCGCUUGAAGAGGGGGUCGCGGCUGAUUAGCUAGUUGGCGGGGUAAUGGCCCACCAAGGCGAUGAUCAGUAGCCGGCCUGAGAGGGCGCACGGCCACACUGGAACUGAGACACGGUCCAG
rnacentral:rRNA from 1 species